GCAGGAGGUCUCAGGCACUGCAGUGCUGGGACAUUGGCAGGGGGAGGCGAGUGUAUUUUUGGGGGGAUGGAUGGUCUCAGGGCUCCUUGCAGUUUUGGGUGGUCCAUUGUUGUUUGUGUGCCCCAGGCAGGCAGGCUUUGAGCAGAGGUGCCUGCACACACCCAGCCUUGCAUGCCCUGUUGGAGAGCUGGCUUUGAAGGCUUUUCUCACAGCCUGGAGGUGCCCCCCUCAUCUUAAACCCUUCAGGACCAAAUGCUGAGCAAAGCACUGGAGUCUUGCCUGGCCAGGAGGAAGCUACAAGGGCUCCACUCCCAGCUCAGGCUGUUUGUUUCCCCUGAGAUGCCCAGUGAGACUUUGUAAGCAGGAGGGUAUUUUUGCCAGUAAAUGCUAGUGUAACCCUAACGUCCUGAUUUAAGGGAGUAAUCCAUCAAGUUGGUUGUUUCCAGACCUCAGUAGCUGCUGAAAAAUCAGGAGAGUCUUACAGCUGGAACAGCCAAAUGCCAUGUGCUCAGCUGAAGAUGGAUGUGGCAAUCACAGGAGAUUCAGCCCUGCUGCGUUGCUGCUUCUGAAGGGCCAGAGCUCCAUGGCACUGCCUGUGUCCCUGCACGUGGCCCUGGGUGAUGAGCUCCAGACAUGGGAUAAGGAGGAGAAACCACAGCCAGGGCUUGGGUUCUUAGAUGGGAGCAAUGAUUCAUCUGGAAUCCGGACCCGCUCGAGCAGCUCCAAGGGAAAGAUGUUGCUGGCAGUGCAGGAGAGCAGCAGGAACAGCACAGGGGCUCUAAAUCAGGCUGGUGGGGGUGGCUUCUGCCUCCUACUCCAGAUUUAGGUGUCAAGUUCUCUUGGGAAGUCCAUGCCCACCCUGCAGAUCUGCACAUGGAGGACAGCAAAGGCAAGGGGAAGCAGAAGGGCAGUCCCGCUCUGCCCCUCAAGGCUAUUCCUACCCUAAAAAAAUGGCCUUCCCCAACUUCUUGGAGAUGUCUCUACAAUUUUCAUUCCAGUUUCCAGUGAGAUUUAAAAAAAAUUAGCUCAAUAAAAUGGGAUUUAAUUCUGA